rnacentral:tRNA from 1 species
GGGUGUAUAGCUCAGCUGGUAGAGCAUUUGACUUUUAAUCAAGUGGUCUUGGGUUCAAAUCCCAAUACGCCCA